GAAAUGCGAUACGUAAUGUGAAUUGCAGAACUCAGUGAAUCAUCGAAUUUUUGAACGCACCUUGCGCUCUUUAGUUAUUCUGAAGAGCAUGCUUGUUUGAGUGUCGCGAACCUCUCAACCCCGCCAAAGGCUUUAUUGACUUUGGUUGCUUGGGCUUGGAUCAUGGUCUCUUGUCGUUGCCCUUCGGGGUUUGGACUGGACUGAAAUACAACAAGUUGAAUGGUUACAUUUGCAGCUUGACCUGAUGUUGUAAACUACUCAUCGGGGAUGCAGUGAAGCUAAAGGAACUUUAACAGAACCCCCUUAAUGGUACCUAGUACAUUUAUGACCUCAAAUCAAGUAGGACUACCCGCUGAACUUAA
rnacentral:misc_RNA from 1 species